AUCUGAGACACUUCGAAUCGCUUCGAACCGCUCCGAAACACGCAAACUCCACGCUUGAAAGCGAAUUCGUAUCACUUUGAAUUGUGCGUUCGUAGAUUACUGUACUGUUGGAAGUCUCUUGAGUUUCUGGUAGUUUUGGUGAAUGUGUUGAGUCUUGGAAAGUCUUAGAAAGUCUUUGUAUUUGAAGGUGUUUCUCGAUGCUUGGAACGGUUGAAAGUCUCGAGUUUUUUACAGUUUCUUCAGUCUGCAAGUCUGUUAUGAAAAUAAAUACGGACGUAGUACCGGACGACGGCUUGAAAAUAAUUAACGAAAUAAUAGCUUAAUAACUUGAUAGUAGCUUGAUCAUUGAAAUAAUUGAUGAAAGUAACAAGGAGUAGAGACCCUUUGAAAAUCUUGGUAAGUCCCAAGUCUUGGAUGGAACGUGCUUGUGCGCGCACGUGCGUCAAGGAGUUUUCGCGCCACUAGAAAAGAGACGUUGAGAAAAAGAGAAAGAGAGAGGAAGAGAGUGGAAUUUAUUACGGUUCUAAUAGGGAAGUAAAAUGGAGAGUGCAAAGAGUUGCAAGAUUUCAGUAGCGAUUUGCUCAGUAUAGUGUUGACGAUGCAUAUAUUGCACACAAUCAACUCUUUGGACAUUGAAAUUCUUAG